UCGCGUGUUGUUCCGAAGAGAAUUGUUCGUCCCCAUUGUCCGCCGCCAUGUUGCAUUGCGAUACAAGUGCGCCGUGCGAAAAUAUGCCUUCCUUUGACUCGACAGCAUUGGGAAAUUGUCUGCAAAAGUGCGUUUCGUGCGCGAAUGCUAUCAUCUAGACUGAAAUGAGAGGAACGUUGUUGCUACUUCUUGCAACAAUUUACUUCGCGAGGACUGCAGAUGGAAGCGGGGAGCAAAAUAAUGAUGCUACGAAACACACAAAACUCUUGGAUGGAUGGACGUUCUUUUCACGGCGUUUGACGUAUUUUAUGCUAAGAAGAACAUACGACGUGGCAGGAGGGUUAGAGAAUUGCUUGUGCGUCAUGGCCCCCUUUUACCCGUACAGUGACACGCAACAGCACAGACUAACCACGACGCUUACUUACCAGAAUAGAAGCUCCAGCGAUGCACAACCUAAUCCAGGAUCUUCUCAAGGAGCUUUCAAAUGGCCUACCGCGAAAAUACGUAUGCACUUUUCCAAGGCACACUUGUCCAUAUCGAAAACUGCGCGUGGCUUCAAUCGUGUAAAAUCAUGGAUCCGAACAAACAAAAACUGUGCAGUUGUCGGUGUGUAUGACCCGACAAUCUUGACGAGCGGCCAUUCGGUUGGUGGGCCUAACGGGACUGGCAUCGGCGUAAGACCACUGUGUGAAGUGUGGGCAAGCGUGGUCAAGAAUACAAGGGAA